rnacentral:rRNA from 1 species
GAUGAACGCUGGCGGCGUGCCUAAUACAUGCAAGUCGAGCGAACAGACGAGGAGCUUGCUCCUCUGACGUUAGUGGCGGACGGGUGAGUAACACGUGGAUAACCUACCUAUAAGACUGGGAUAACUUCGGGAAACCGGAGCUAAUACCGGAUAAUAUAUUGAACCGCAUGGUUCAAUAGUGAAAGACGGUUUUGCUGUCACUUAUAGAUGGAUCCGCGCCGCAUUAGCUAGUUGGUAAGGUAACGGCUUACCAAGGCAACGAUGCGUAGCCGACCUGAGAGGGUGAUCGGCCACCCUGGAACUGAACCACGGUCCCGACUCCUACCGGAGGCCGCAGUUGGGAAUCUUCCGCCAUGGGCGGAAGCCUGACGGAGCAACCCCGCGUUGGUGAUGAAGGUCUUCGGAUCCUAAAACCCUGUUAUUAGGGAAGAACAAAUGUGUAAGUAACUAUGCACGUCUUGACGGUACCCUAUCCGAAAGCCACCGCUAACUUCGUG